GCCCCCAGACCAAACUGUGACGUUUAUCGUCGCUUGCCCGAAAGGGAUAGGUCUGGGGGUUUUC
rnacentral:ncRNA from 1 species